rnacentral:rRNA from 1 species
CGGGUAGCGGAACACGUACGCAACCUUCCCAUAACUGGUGAAUAGCCUUCCGAAAGGGAGAUUAAUACACCGUAACAUAAUGAAGUGGCAUCACUUUAUUAUUAUAGGCUUCGGCCGGUUUUGGAUGGGCGUGCGCCUGAUUAGGUAGUUGGCGGGGUAACGGCCCACCAAGCCUGCGAUCAGUAACUGGUGUGAGAGCACGACCAGUCACACGGGCACUGAGACACGGGCCCG